rnacentral:snoRNA from 1 species
CCUCUCGGAGACGACGAGCUCAUAUCCUACAUCCUCGCCGGCUUGGACAUGUAGUAUAAGCCUCUCGUCUCUGCCCUCGACGCCCGUAGCUCGCCUGUCACCCUUGACGAACUAUAUGCUCAGAUGAGUAACUUUGACC